UGUUUGACGUUUAUGUUAAUAAUUAAUUAUUCAAGAUGCCUGAAGAAGCCAUGAUCCAUGGCGAAACGUCGUUGAAUUGAAAAAUAAAAUUAACAUAAAAA